CGGCCAGGAAGAUCCGUCCUCAUAGGUCACUCCGUCCACUGUGCAGGAUUGUUGUUGUUGCGCCCGGCAACAGCCAAGACCUAUCAACCGUUAGAGAUGAGACGAGAUUAAGCAUCCAUUGUUGUGGGUACAGACAAAACAUCCCGACCGGAGGCAUACGCAACAACCACGGAAACAACCGAGGCGCCAUUUUUAAAAGGGAAAAAAAAAUGUUGCGGCGUGACUACACGAUGCGACCUUGAACCAACCAAACCGCCAAGGUUGGCGAUCUGCGCGCAAUCGCUGGAAGUGUUUGGGCAAUAAUUCACGCUUUACGAUCAUCUUUAAGAUACGCAAAAGUGGCUCUGUCUCUCGAAGCCUCCCAUUUUGAAUAUGAGAGUCGCACGAUCGUUAGACGAGAUAGAUCGUAUACAGACACACACGCAACACGCACAAACACACACACAUAUAUAAAUGUGUUAUUUUAACGAAAAAAAGAUCACGCUUUUCCUAGAGUUUCGUCUAGCUGCCAAGUUCCGAUGAAUUUUUCAUCACGUCGUCGUCUACACGGCCGCGGCCGCUGCUGCCUUCGCGGCUUGUACUAUUACUACUACUACUACCACCGCUGCGCAUGGUCUUGAUAAUCUGCUGCAGCCAUUUUCAAGGCCGGAAUCCGGGGCGUGUUAGUAUACGAGAGAUUACGACUGUCUCGAUAUUUUGCAACUCAAACGAGUCACGAAGCGAGCCAGAAAGCGUGUGUGUGUGUGUGUGUGUAGAUAGACUCUACGGCGGCGACGGGCUCCACUCCAAGAAAUAUGCCGG